UCGGGUUGUAAACCUCUUUCAGUAGGGAAGAAGCGAAAGUGACGGUACCUGCAGAAGAAGCGCCGGCUAACUACGUGCCAGCAGCCGCGGUAAUACGUAGGGCGCAAGCGUUAUCCGGAAUUAUUGGGCGUAAAGAGCUCGUAGGCGGUUUGUCGCGUCUGCCGUGAAAGUCCGGGGCUCAACUCCGGAUCUGCGGUGGGUACGGGCAGACUAGAGUGAUGUAGGGGAGACUGGAAUUCCUGGUGUAGCGGUGAAAUGCGCAGAUAUCAGGAGGAACACCGAUGGCGAAGGCAGGUCUCUGGGCAUUAACUGACGCUGAGGAGCGAAAGCAUGGGGAGCGAACAGGAUUAGAUACCCUGGUAGUCCAUGCCGUAAACGUUGGGCACUAGGUGUGGGGGACAUUCCACGUUUUCCGCGCCGUAGCUAACGCAUUAAGUGCCCCGCCUGGGGAGUACGGCCGCAAGGCUAAAACUCAAAGGAAUUGACGGGGGCCCGCACAAGCGGCGGAGCAUGCGGAUUAAUUCGAUGCAACGCGAAGAACCUUACCAAGGCUUGACAUGAACCGGUAACGCCUGGAGACAGGUGCCCCGCUUGCGGUCGGUUUACAGGUGGUGCAUGGUUGUCGUCAGCUCGUGUCGUGAGAUGUUGGGUUAAGUCCCGCAACGAGCGCAACCCUCGUUCUAUGUUGCCAGCACGUGAUGGUGGGGACUCAUAGGAGACUGCCGGGGUCAACUCGGAGGAAGGUGGGGACGACGUCAAAUCAUCAUGCCCCUUAUGUCUUGGGCUUCACGCAUGCUACAAUGGCC
rnacentral:rRNA from 1 species